UACGGAGGGUGCAAGCGUUAUCCGGAUUUAUUGGGUUUAAAGGGUGCGUAAGUGGGUUGGUAAGUCAGUGGUGAAAUCUUCGAGCUUAACUCGGAAACUGCCAUUGAUACUAUCAAUCUUGAAUUAUCUGGAGGUAAGCGGAAUAUGUCAUGUAGCGGUGAAAUGCUUAGAUAUGACAUAGAACACCCAUUGCGAAGGCAGCUUAGUACGGAUAUAUUGACACUGAGGCACGAAAGCGUGGGGAUCAAACAGG
rnacentral:rRNA from 1 species